AACGUAGGACACAAGCGUUAUCCGGAGUUACUGGGCGUAAAGGGCGUGUAGGCGGAUGGGUAAGUCUACUCUGAAAGCUCCUGGCUAAACUGGGAGAGGCGAGUGGAGACUGCUGAUCUAGAGUGAGGAAGAGGAAAGUGGAAUUCCGCGUGUAGUGGUGAAAUGCGUAGAGAUCAUGAGGAAGACCAGUGGCGAAGGCGGGUCUCUGGACAGUUCCUGACACUGAGGCACGAAGGCCAGGGGAGCAAACGGG
rnacentral:rRNA from 1 species